UGAAUCACUGACUCAACCACACAAAAGCUCUUCCUCUGUCAGUCAUUCAGUCAGACAGACAGAGACUCUGAGAGAGUUUGUGCAGCAUCAGCCUCUGGAAGAACAACACCGCAGCUGAAAUUAGACAUGCAUCCCAUAUUGAUCAGCAUAGUGGCAGCCAACACAAGUUUAACUAUUGUCUACUGGAACUUUCUUCUGUCUCAGGUUUUCUGCAAGAAGAUCAAAGAUGCACCGCAACCUGAGGAAAUUCCAGUCUGAGUGGAGGCCUUGGUCGUGAUCCUGACAAUGAAGAGGAAGAA